GUCCGCACUGUAAACGAUGAUUACUCGCUGCUGGGAGGUAACUUUCAGUGGCUUAGCGAAAGCGAUAAGUAAUCCACCUGGGGAGUACGCCGGCAACGGUGAAACUCAAAGGAAUUGACGGGGGCCCCGCACAAGCGGAGGAGCAUGUGGUUUAAUUCGAUGAUACGCGAGGAACCUUACCAGGGCUUGAAAGUUAGUGACCGAUUCUGAAAGGAGUCUUUCCGCAAGGACACGAAACUAGGUGCUGCAUGGCUGUCGU
rnacentral:rRNA from 1 species